rnacentral:rRNA from 1 species
CAGUUAGUUGGUGGGGUAACGGCCUACCAAGACUCCGAUGGGUAGCUGGCUUGAGAGAGCGACCAGCCACACUGGAACUGAGACACGGUCCAGACUCCUACGGGAGGCAGCAGUGAGGAAUUUUCCGCAAUGGGCGAAAGCCUGACGGAGCGACGCCGCGUGUGGGAAGAAGGCCUUCGGGUCGUAAACCACUGUCGAAGGGGACGAUAUUGACGGUACCCUUGGAGGAAGCCCCGGCCAACUACGUGCCAGCAGCCGCGGUAAUACGUAGGGUGCGAGCGUUGUCCGGAAUUACUGGGCGUAAAGAGCUCGUAGGUGGUUUGUCGCGUUGUUCGUGAAAUGCCACAGCUUAACUGUGGGCGUGCGGGCGAUACGGGCAGACUGGAGUACUGCAGGGGAGACUGGAAUUCCUGGUGUAGCGGUGGAAUGCGCAGAUAUCAGGAAGAACAUCGGUGGCGAAGGCGCUCUGCUGGACCAUAACUGACACUCAGGGACGAAAGCUAGGGGAGCGAAUGGGAUUAGAUACCCCAGUAGUCCUAGCCGUAAACGAUGGAUACUAGGUGUUGUCUGUAUCGACCCGGACAGUGCCGUAGCUAACGCGUUAAGUAUCCCGCCUGGGGAGUACGCACGCAAGUGUGAAACUCAAAGGAAUUGACGG